GAGGGCACAGCUCAGUGGUAGAGCCCAUGCUUAGGAUGCAUGAGGUCCUGGUUCAAUCCCCAGUACCUCCA
rnacentral:tRNA from 1 species